rnacentral:rRNA from 1 species
CCUACGGGGGGCAGCAGUGGGGAAUAUUGCACAAUGGGGGAAACCCUGAUGCAGCAACGCCGCGUGAGUGAAGAAGUAUUUCGGUAUGUAAAGCUCUAUCAGCAGGGAAGAAAAUGACGGUACCUGAGUAAGAAGCCCCGGCUAACUACGUGCCAGCAGCCGCGGUAAUACGUAGGGGGCAAGCGUUAUCCGGAUUUACUGGGUGUAAAGGGAGCGUAGACGGCGAUGCAAGUCUGAAGUGAAAGCCCGGGGCUCAACCCCGGGACUGCUUUGGAAACUGUAUGGCUGGAGUGCUGGAGAGGCAA